GUGGAUUAGAUACCCUGGUAGUCCACGCCGUAAACGAUGGGCACUAGGUGUAGGAGGUAUUGACCCCUUCUGUGCCGAAGCUAACGCAUUAAGUGCCCCGCCUGGGGAGUACGGCCGCAAGGCUAAAACUCAAAGGAAUUGACGGGGGCCCGCACAAGCGGUGGAGCAUGUGGUUCAAUUCGACGCAACGCGAAGAACCUUACCUGGGUUUGACAUCCGCUGACCGUCCUAGAAAUAGGAUUUUCCCCGCAAGGGGACAGCGAGACAGGUGCUGCAUGGCCGUCGCCAGCU
rnacentral:rRNA from 1 species